rnacentral:rRNA from 1 species
CCUACGGGAGGCAGCAGUGGGGAAUAUUGCACAAUGGGGGAAACCCUGAUGCAGCGACGCCGCGUGCAGGAUGAAGGCUUUCCGUAUGUAAACUUCUAUCUGCAGGGAAGAAACUCACGGUACCUGACUAAGACUCCCCGGCUAACUCCGUACCGGCCGCCGGGGUAAUGAGGAAGGGGCAAGCGUUAUCCGGAUUUACUGGGUGUAAAGCGAGCGUAGACGGUAUGGCAAGUCUGAUGUGAAAACCGGGGGGUCAACGCCGGGACUGCAUUUGAAACUGCCGAACUAGAGUGUAGGAGAGGCAAGUGGAAUUCGUAGUGUAGCGGUGAAAUGCGUAGAUAUUAGGAGGAACACCGAUGGCGAAGGCAGCUUGCGGGAGGGUGACUGACGUUGAGGCUCGAAGGCGUGGGGAGCAAACAGGAUUAGAUACCCCAGUAGUC